CUUCUGGCAGCUUCUUGCAGAAGCCACCCCUGUAGCUCCCCCUCUGCUACCAAAACCUGGCCAUGCAAGCCCAAUACACUUGUCUUUUCAUGUGAGGAGUUGUUUUGGAGUGCUUGAUGAGCUGUCCCUUAGACCAGCAGCAGCGAUCUUCACAGGCCUUACAUGAGAUCCCCCAUCAGCCCAUAAUUCCAUGCAUCAUCUUUAUGAUUCACAUGCUCUGUCAAUGUGACCACCUCCUGGAGACACCGUAGUCUUUCAGCAACGGUAGAAAAUUGCUCCAUUGUACUGCUGAAGAGUGAAUUGGUUUCAAAUUACUCUGAAAGGCAGCCAACAGAACAGCUAACACCAUGGGACCAAGUUUUCAUCUGGCCUUCAGUCUGGUUUUCAAGUCUGUGUUCCCAGGUUUGCACUCUCAAUCAAUUGUAGAAAAAAGUAAUUUCAGGCCCAAUUAGCUGUGAACCUCCAUCUACCAGGUUUAGAGAAAACCAAAUAAAUUUA